CUGACUGCUAUCGGAUUGGUACUAAGCCAUGCGAGUCAUGUGCAUACAGGCCCNNNGCGGGGNGGGNNNACGGUCAGUACAGUAUCAACUAACUCGUGACGUGGAUAACCCUCGGGAAACUGAGAAUAAACCACGAAUAGAUCAUUAUGCCNUGGAAUGGCUUAUGGUCCAAAUAGUUUAUGCAUGGGAUGGGACUGCGGCCUAUCAGCUUGUUGGUGAGGUAAUGGCCCACCAAGGCUAUAACAGGUACGGGCUCUGAGAGGAGAAGCCCGGCACGAUGCGGUACUGAGACACGGACCCAGGCCC
rnacentral:rRNA from 1 species